rnacentral:misc_RNA from 1 species
AUGCGAUAAGUAAUGUGAAUUGCAGAAUUCCGUGAAUCAUCGAAUCUUUGAACGCACAUUGCGCCCCCUGGUAUUCCGGGGGGCAUGCCUGUCCGAGCGUCAUUGCAACCCUCAAGCGCGGCUUGCGUGUUGGGCGCCGUCCCCCGUGGACGCGCCCGAAAGGCAGUGGCGGUACCGUGCUCCGGUGCCCGAGCGUAUGGGCUUCAAACCCGCUCUGGUGGCCCGGCCGGCGCUGGCCUCGACCCUCAACUUUACCCAGGUUGACCUCGGAUCAGGUAGGGAUACCCGCUGAACUUAA